rnacentral:rRNA from 1 species
GACGAACGCUGGCGGCGUGCUUAACACAUGCAAGUCGAACGGAAAGGCCCCUUUGGGGGUCCUCGAGUGGCGAACGGGUGAGUAACACGUGAGUAACCUGCCCUUGACUUCGGGAUAACUUCAGGAAACUGGGGCUAAUACCGGAUAGGAAUCCUUGCUGCAUGGUGGGGGUUGGAAAGCUUCGGCGGUUUUGGCUGGACUCGCGGCUUAUCAGCUUGUUGGUGGGGUAGUGGCUUACCAAGGCUUUGACGGGUAGCCGGCCUGUGAGGGCGACCGGCCACACUGGGACUGAGAUACGGCCCAGACACCUACGGGAGGCAGCAGGGGGGAAUAUUGCACAAUGGGCGGAAGCCUGGUGCAGCAACGCCGCGUGCGGGAUGACGGCCUUCGGGUUGUAAACCGCUUUCAGCAGGGGCGAAGCUUGUGGUGACGGUACCUGCACAAGAAGCACCGGCUAACUACGUG